GUCUAUGAGCAUAAUACCCUGAACACAUCUGAUCUCAGAAGCUAAGCAGUGUCAGGCCUGGUUACCAAUUUGAUGGGAGAAAGCAAGUUUAAAAU
rnacentral:rRNA from 1 species